rnacentral:rRNA from 1 species
UUCGAGUGGCCCAAGCGGUAAUCGGAAUCACUGGGCUUAAAGGGUGCGUAGGCGGCUCUGCACGCACUCCGUGAAAUCCCCCGGCUCAACCGGGGAACUGCGGGGUGGACUGCAGAGCUUGAGGCAUGGAGAGGUCGUCGGAACGCUCGGUGGAGCGGUGAAAUGCGUUGAUAUCGAGCGGAACGCCGAAGGUGAAGACAGGCGCCUGGUCAUGUCCUGACGCUGAGGCACGAAAGCGUGGGGAGCAAACGGG